rnacentral:rRNA from 1 species
GUGUACCAGUUGUCAUGCCAAUGGCAGUGCUGGGUAGCCAAGUUUGGACGGGAUAAGCGCUGAAAGCAUCUAAGCGCGAAACCCACCUCAAGAUAAGACUUCCCAUUCCGUUAAGGAAGUAAGACCCCAGGAAGAAUACCUGGUAGAUAGGCUAGGAGUGUAAGGGCAGUAAUGUCUUAAGCGGACUAGUACUAAUCGGUCGAGGACUUGACCA